rnacentral:rRNA from 1 species
UACGUAGGGGGCGAGCGUUGUCCGGAUUUAUUGGGCGUAAAGAGCGUGUAGGCGGCCUGACAGGUCUGCUGUGAAAACUCGAGGCUCAACCUCGAGAUGUCGGCGGAAACCGUCUGGCUAGAGUCCGGAAGAGGAGAGUGGAAUUCCUGGUGUAGCGGUGAAAUGCGCAGAUAUCAGGAAGAACACCUAUGGCGAAGGCAGCUCUCUGGGGACGGUACUGACGCUGAGACGCGAAAGCGUGGGGAGCGAACAGG